CAAAAACAUGUCUAUAUGAUUGUUAUAUAAAGUCUAGCCUGCCCACUGAUUUGUUUUAAAGGGCCGCGGUAUAUUGACCGUGCGAAGGUAGCAUAAUCAUUAGUCUUUUAAUUGGAGGCUUGUAUGAAUGGUUGGACAAAAAGUAAGCUGUCUCGGUUAUAAUAAUUGAACUUAACUUUUAAGUGAAAAGGCUUAAAUGUUUCAGGGGGACGAUAAGACCCUAUAAAGCUUGACAAUAAUUUCGUUAUAUUAUAAAUUGUUAGUAUAACUUGAUUUUAACGGGAGUUUGUUUCGUUGGGGCGACGGGAAUAUAAUAAAUAACUGUUCUUUUAAAUAUAAUUACAAAAAUACUUGGUAAAUAAUUGAUCCUCUAUUAGAGAUUAAAAGAUUAAGUUACUUUAGGGAUAACAGCGUAAUCUUCUUUGAGAGUCCACAUCGACAAGAAGGUUUGCGACCUCGAUGUUGAAUUAAGGUAUCCUUAUAAUGCAGCAGUUAUAAAGGAGGGUCUGUUCGACCUUUAAAUCCUUACAUGAUCUG
rnacentral:rRNA from 1 species